rnacentral:piRNA from 1 species
UAGACAUUGAGUUUGCUACGCACAGGUUG